rnacentral:rRNA from 1 species
AGGACGAACGCUGGCGGCGUGCCUAAUACAUGCMAGUCGAGCGCAUGACGAGGAGCUUGCUCCUCUGAUUGAGCGGCGGACGGGUGAGUAACACGUGGGCAACCUGCCCUGUAGACGGGGAUAACUUCGGGAAACCGGAGCUAAUACCGGAUAAUCCUCUUCCCCACAUGGGGAAGAGUUGAAAGGCGCUUUUGCGUCACUACAGGAUGGGCCCGCGGUGCAUUAGCUAGUUGGUGGGGUAACGGCCUACCAAGGCGACGAUGCAUAGCCGACCUGAGAGGGUGAUCGGCCACAUUGGGACUGAGACACGGCCCAAACUCCUACGGGAGGCAGCAGUAGGGAAUCUUCCACAAUGGACGAAAGUCUGAUGGAGCAACGCCGCGUGAGUGAUGAAGGUUUUCGGAUCGUAAAACUCUGUUGUAAGGGAAGAACCAGUACGUCAGGCAAUGGACGUACCUUGACGGUACCUUAUUAGAAAGCCACGGCUAACUACGUGCCAGCAGCCGCGGUAAUACGUAGGUGGCAAGCGUUGUCCGGAAUUAUUGGGCGUAAAGCGCGCGCAGGUGGUUUCUUAAGUCUGAUGUGAAAGCCCACGGCUUAACCGUGGAGGGUCAUUGGAAACUGGGAGACUUGAGUGCAGAAGAGGAAAGUGGAAUUCCAAGUGUAGCGGUGAAAUGCGUAGAGAUUUGGAGGAACACCAGUGGCGAAGGCGACUUUCUGGUCUGCAACUGACGCUGAGGCGCGAAAGCAUGGGGAGCAAACAGGAUU